rnacentral:rRNA from 1 species
GAGGCAGCAGUGAGGAAUAUUGGUCAAUGGACGAGAGUCUGAACCAGCCAAGUAGCGUGAAGGAUGAAGGUUUAUGGAUUGUAAACUUCUUUUAUACGGGAAUAACGGAUCCACGUGUGGAUUUUUGCAUGUACCGUAUGAAUAAGGAUCGGCUAACUCCGUGCCAGCAGCCGCGGUAAUACGGAGGAUCCGAGCGUUAUCCGGAUUUAUUGGGUUUAAAGGGAGCGUAGAUGGGUUGUUAAGUCAGUUGUGAAAGUUUGCGGCUCAACCGUAAAAUUGCAAUUGAUACUGGCAGUCUUGAGUACAGUUGAGGUAGGCGGAAUUCGUGGUGUAGCGGUGAAAUGCUUAGAUAUCACGAAGAACUCCGAUUGCGAAGGCAGCUUACUAACCUGUAACUGACAUUGAUG